rnacentral:misc_RNA from 1 species
AAGUCGUAACAAGGUUUCCGUAGGUGAACCUGCGGAAGGAUCAUUACCAGGUCCCCGGCCCCCUCGCGGGGUCGACCUUCCCACCCGUGUCUAUCUUCUCUGUUGCUUUGGCGGGCCCGCGCCCGCCAAAGACCUAUCCAAACCCAACUGUUUUGUGACGUAUUUCUGAGUCCCUCGCACGCUCCGUCGUGCGUCCAAUAUCGUGAAAACCUUCAACAAUGGAUCUCUUGGUUCUG